AGAAACUUAGGUUCAACCCAAACCGGAGGCCUUCAAAGCCUCAAAUAAGAGUGCAACCCUCUUAGUUUCUG
rnacentral:tRNA from 1 species